rnacentral:misc_RNA from 1 species
AACUCUCACCUGCAGCACUCUUUUAUUAGAGGGCUGGAGCGUGGACGUGAGUGCUGCUGGUGCCCUCGCUGCAUCGGCUCACUUGAAAUUUAUUAGCUGAAUCCUCUAGUGUUGGUUCUACUCGACGUGAUAAGAUCUCCGUCGAGGACAGUUGCUCCUUGUGGGCGGCUGGCCAUCGCUAGCUGUUGAUACGCUCCUAAUUAGCGCAGACUUCGAGUGCUGGCAACUUUUGACA